rfam:Ixodes scapularis strain Wikel colony gcontig_1107729012262, whole genome shotgun sequence.
CAAAAGGCCCUUUUGAGGGCCAAAACAAAUUGGCUUUUGAGCAUUA